UUUUUUCAAAAUUAUGGCGGAUUUCUUGGAGGACUCUGAGCAAAAUGAUCGAAAUAUCUGCCAAACAGACUUCCUAGCCGAUCAAUUCGAAAAAUUUACGCACGAUUAUCGCGAGAAAACCGAACCAAAGUGUUGUGGUACGGGCAGUUUUCUGAAAAAUUUUUUAAAAAUCCAAAAAAUUUCAGCGGAAACCGACUCGGAUCACUCGAAAUGUGAACAGGCUGAAGGAAAAUCGAAACGAGCGAAAAAGGAAAUUGUGAAUGUGACGAGAAAGCUGCAAAAAGCACUUAUUUCGUUGGAAAUG
rnacentral:sRNA from 1 species